rnacentral:tRNA from 1 species
GGGAUUUUAGUAUAUUUAGUAUGGUGGAUUGCAAAUCUAUUGGGAGAAGUCUCU